rnacentral:rRNA from 1 species
CCUACGGGAGGCAGCAGUGGGGAAUAUUGGACAAUGGGCGCAAGCCUGAUCCAGCAAUGCCGCGUGUGUGAAGAAGGCCUUCGGGUUGUAAAGCACUUUUAUCAGGAGCGAAAUCUGCAGGGCUAAUACCCAUGCAGUCUGACGGUACCUGAGGAAUAAGCACCGGCUAACUCCGUGCCAGCAGCCGCGGUAAUACGGAGGGUGCAGGCGUUAAUCGGAAUUACUGGGCGUAAAGCGUGCGUAGGCGGUUCGUUAAGUCUGUUGUGAAAGCCCCGGGCUCAACCUGGGAAUGGCAAUGGAUACUGGCGAGCUAGAGUGUGUCAGAGGAUGGUGGAAUUCCCGGUGUAGCGGUGAAAUGCGUAGAGAUCGGGAGGAACAUCAGUGGCGAAGGCGGCCAUCUGGGACAACACUGACGCUGAGGCACGGAAAGCGUAGGGGAGCAAACAGGAUUAGAUACCCUGGUACGUCCACGCCCUAAACGAUGCGAACUGGAUGUUGGUCUCAACUCGGAGAUCAGUGUCGAAGCUAACGCGUUAAGUUCGCCGCCUGGGGAGUACGGUCGCGAAGACUGAAACUCAAAGGAUUGACGG